ACCGGUCGCGGCAUACUCCGGAAGGACCCCGCCCCCGCCGCCGCCGUCGCGUCGCUUCCCCGUCGCCAUGGACGUGGGCGACCGGUCUUUCCGUGCGCGCGUGGGCCUCUCCUUCCCUGUUGCUUGCGUCACCGCCGGGCUGCGGUAUGGGCUUCUUCCUUGUAGGUGAGGUUGCGGGCGACGCCAUACCGUGUGGCGACGCAACGCGUCGUGAGGGGUCUGAACAGCGACAUGGGUGGGCGCUUUUAGGUGGCCAGCUUGUCGCAGAUGACAACCGAGGACGGUUCUUGGGUCUUCUCCCACGCAAUCGACUGCAUAGCGCGUUGAAGAAGAGCGAGGCGACGAUGGCGUGACAGUGAGGGCUGGGCUGAGGCAACGGAUUGGAUGGUUGGUUUUGCGGGGCGCAGGUGGAGAGGCUGGGCCGACGGCGGUGGCACACAGUCGGCCCCGAGGUGCCGAUAGCGCAUGGUGAGGGUCAGAGCCGCCUCCUACUCCUUCCUCCGGUCUCCAACCAUCCCCAACACCUGCUGUCCACCGCUCGCCGAGGAACCAACACGGUGUUCCCGCGAGCGCUGCGAAAGGCCCACGUGGGUGCGACGAAGAAGACAUGGGACAUGCAAGCGUGGGCAUCUCCCUCGCACACCCGUGCGACCUCCCAUGGUGCAGAGCUCGCCGGCCAGUGCCCCAGCAGCUGGAGUGGCUGUCGAUAUGGACGACGCCCAGAAGGUGCUCGAGGAAAUGCGUCCAACCAAAGAUUCUUCAUGAAUCCAUGUUCUUGCUAUUACAAGUUGCCAUGGAUUUGUGACUCACCAAGGAGCGGUGCCAGGUGCCAGGCGAGGACAGAUUGCAGGGAUGAGCUGUGCCGCGGCUACAAACAAAAGCGAUUGCUUUGGGGACGUUUGUGCCGCUGCUAGAUCAGCAUGUACAACAUUCCUUUCAGUCACAUUUUACUGCCCCUGGAGGCUACUCAUGGAUUCCCCCUUCCUGGUACUGCAAAUUUGGAUGACACAAAAUGUUCUAGCAUCUGUAACUGUAAGAAACUGUUCUAUACUAAACUUUUAUGGUCCUUAGCAUUCUUGCAAAGAUAUGAACUAUAGAUUCUUGCAAAGAUAUGAACUAUAGUUGUAGAUAUGCAUAACUAUCAAUAUGUGACUUGCAAUAGUCUGUCAAUUACUCCGUUAAUUUGUAGCCUAUUCUAAUAAGGACAACCCUGUGUUUCAUUAAGCUUUA